ensembl:snRNA U6 U6 spliceosomal RNA
GUGUUCUCUUCAGCAGCACAUAUACUACAAUUGGAAUGACACAGAGAAGAUUAGCAUGGCCCCCUGCACGAGGAUGACAUGCAAAUUUGUGAAGUGUUCCAUAUUUUU